rnacentral:rRNA from 1 species
GAUGAACGCUGACAGAAUGCUUAACACAUGCAAGUCAACUUGAACUUCGGUUUGGGUGGCGGACGGGUGAGUAACGCGUAAAGAACUUGCCUCACAGAUAGGGACAACAUUUGGAAACGAAUGCUAAUACCUGAUAUUAUGAUUUUAGGGCAUCCUAGGAUUAUGAAAGCUAUAUGCGCUGUGAGAGAGCUUUGCGUCCCAUUAGCUAGUUGGAGAGGUAACGGCUCACCAAGGCGAUGAUGGGUAGCCGGCCUGAGAGGGUGAUCGGCCACAAGGGGACUGAGACACGGCCCGUACUCCAACGGGAGGCAGCAGUGGGGAAUAUUGGACAAUGGACCAAGAGUCUGAUCCAGCAACUCUGUGUGCACGAUGAAGUUUUUCGGAAUGUAAAGUGCUUUCAGUUGGGAAGAAAAAAAUGACGGUACCAACAGAAGAAGUGACGGCUAAAUACGUG